AGGGCCGCCGUGUCAAACGGACACGAUGGUGCCGAAGAACACCGGGAUUUUUCCGUUUUCUCCCGGUGGCCAACGAAAUGGCAGCCGAGCUUCUUACCCAUCCGGCGC
rnacentral:sRNA from 25 species